AGGAGACCUCAAAUGGAUAUUGUUGAUGUGGUUGGGAGAAUAAUAGAAGGCAAACGUGAUCGAUGUUGUUUUGAACUUUCUCUUCAAGAUAAGACUGGUCACACAAUACAAUUGUUUUUGUCUGCCCUGAAGCCUUCCGAUGUUAUACGUUCCAUUCGAGCCGUGCAACAAAGGUCCAUCAUAUAUGUAUCACGUCUCAAGUUGGUUCAUCUACCAGA